GACAGAGGGGGCGAGCGUUGUCCGGCGUCACUGGGCGUAAAGCGCGCGCCGGCGGCAACCUAAGUGUCGUGUGAAAGCCCCCGGCUCAACCGGGGGAGGCCAUGGCAAACUGGGUCGCUCGAGCUGCGGAGAGGCCCCUCGAAUUGCCGGUGUAGCGGUGAAAUGCGUAGAGAUCGGCAGGAAGACCAAGGGGGAAGCCAGGGGGCUGGCCGCAGGCUGACGCUGAGGCGCGACAGCGUGGGGAGCAAACCGG
rnacentral:rRNA from 1 species